CACCAUCCCUCCUGCCAGCUCUGCCUCCUGAGAGAUACUAGGAAGAGCCAGCUUUGUUCCGGCACAACGGGCAUCCCCUCGGGCAGUGGUAGCCUCCUCAUCCUACAUUUUUAUGACAAAAAGGAGCCAUUCUCAUUUCCAAGGUGCCGGGUGCAGAGCUUAGCGCUGAGUGCAGAGGGGAUUUCCAAGGCGGGCUAGGUGCCGGGUGCAAAGCUUAGUCCUGAGUGCAGAGGGGAUUUCCCAGGCAGGCUAGGUGGCGGGUGCAGAGCUUAGUCCUGAGUGCAGAGGGGAUUUCCCAGGCGGGCUAGGUGCCCGGUGCAGAGCUUAGUCCUGAGUGCAGAGGGGAUUUCCAAGGCGGGCUAGGUGCCCGGUGCAGAGCUUAGUCCUGAGUGCAGAGGGGAUUUCCAAGGCGGGCUAGGUGCCGGGUGCAGAGCUUAGCGCUGAGUGCAGAGGGGAUUUCCAAGGCGGGCUAGGUGCCCGGUGAAGAGCUUAGCGCUGAGUGCAGAGGGGAUUUCCAAGGCGGGCUAGGUGCCCGGUGCAGAGCUUAGUGCUGAGUGCAGAGGGGAUUUCCAAGGCGGGCUAGGUGCCCGGUGCAGAGCUUAGUGCUGAGUGCAGAGGGGAUUUCCAAGACGGGCUAGGUGCCCGGUGCAGAGCUUAGUGCUGAGUGCAGAGGGGAUUUCCAAGGCGGGCUAGGUGCGGGGUGCAGAGCUUAGCGCUGAGUGCAGAGGGGAUUUCCAAGGUGGGCUAGGUGCCGGGUGCAGAGCUUAGUGCUGAGUGCAGAGGGGAUUUCCAAGGCGGGCUAGGUGCCGGGUGCAGAGCUUAGUCCUGAGUGCAGAGGGGAUUUCCAAGGCGGGCUAGGUGCCCGGUGCAGAGCUUAGUGCUGAGUGCAGAGGGGAUUUCCAAGGCAGGCUAGGUGCCGGGUGCAGAGCUUAUUCCUGAGUGCAGAGGGGAGUUCCAAGGCGGGCUAGGUGCCAGGUGCAGAGCUUAGUGCUGAGUGCAGAGGGGAUUUCCAAGACAGAGCUAGAUGAUGGGCAUAUUCCGGUGACAUAAUUUUCAGGCGAGGAGAGGGAUGGGCGUGUCUGAGCUCCUGGCGAGGAAACCAGCCUUACAAUUACUAUGAAACAAACUGGUGUGGUCCGAAUGUUUGCAUUGCCUCAAAAUUCAUAGGUUGAAAUCCUAAGCCUUAAGGUGAUGGUGUCAGGAGGUGGGGCCUUUAGGGGGGUGAUUAGGUCACAAGGAUGGAGCCCUCAUGAAUGAGAUUAGUGCCCUUACAAAAAAGGCCCAGGGGAGCUCAUUCUGUUCGUCCUUCCACCGUGUGAGAACAGUGAGAAGACACUUUCUAUGAACAGAAGACAACCCUUACCAGAAUCAAAUCUGGCAUCUUGAUCUUGAACUUCUCAGGCUCCAGAGCUGUGAGAGAUCAGUUUCCAUCGUCAGAAGCCUAUUGUUUGUUUCUUUUUAAUAGCACUCCAAACAAACUAAGACACAAACCCAACACUUAGUGGC
rnacentral:lncRNA from 1 species